rnacentral:lncRNA from 1 species
AAAUUUUUAAGUAAUAUUAAGUUUUACAAUCUUCCAGAAAAGAUAAUGUGUAAGCACAAUAAUUCUAAUAUAACCCAAAACCAAAAUUAGGCAAGGAAAAUGCAAAAAAGGAAAAUUGCAAGUUGCUGUUAUCCAUGAAGAGAUGUAAAAAAUGCUAAACAAAAGCUUAGCAAAAGUAACCCAAAAGUACCUAAACCCAUUUUGUCCCAUCAUUCCAGAUACAGAACAACUAUAAAAACUUAUAUCAAGCAAUUAAUGUACUACUAUGGUAACUGAAAUAAUACUCGAAUAUUUAUUAUGUUCACAGACUUGAGAACUUAGGAUUUAAUUGGUUAAUAGCAUCAUGAUGAAUUUUGGUUUAUUUACUGAAAACCUGCAGAAAUGUUAAAACAUUAAAAACAUUUAUAACUGAAGGAAUAGGAGAAAGAAUGAACUGUUCAGUAAUGCUAUAGGACAUAGAAAUGGUCCCACAGAAAAAACAAACAACCUGGACCCUACCCCUCACAUAACAGUUGUACAAAAGGCAAAAUUAUAACUUUCAUAAGAACAUGUAAGGAAUAACUAGAUGGCCUUGAGGCAGGGAAGGAGUUCCUAAAACAAAUGAGCUGUGUGAAGUUUUUGAUAUAUUUGCUCACAUCAAAGAAUUGCUUACCAAAAUACACCAAAAAAGGAAUGAAAAGUCAUGACACAAAACAGAUCUUUCAGCAGUAUGCUCAGUGGACUAUUAUAAUCCAAAAAAGUUCAAAUAAUUUUUACAAAUUAAUAUUUAAUAGGAAAAAGUGAUGUGGAAUACAUGACUACAGAAGAGAACACCAAUUUCCAAAAUCAUGAAAUGAUAGUAACUUUAUUAGAGGUUUAAAAUUUACCAAUUACAAAUGAGAAAAAAUUAAGAUGUGUAACAGUACAGAAGU